GACGAACGCUGGCGGCGUGCCUAAUACAUGCAAGUAGAGCGCACAGUUUAUACCGUAGCUUGCUACACCAUAAACUGUGAGUUGCGAACGGGUGAGUAACGCGUAGGUAACCUGCCUGGUAGCGGGGGAUAACUAUUGGAAACGAUAGCUAAUACCGCAUAAUAUUGAUUAUUGCAUGAUAAUUGAUUGAAAGAUGCUAUUGCAUCACUACCAGAUGGACCUGCGUUGUAUUAGCUAGUAGGUGAGGUAACGGCUCACCUAGGCGACGAUACAUAGCCGACCUGAGAGGGUGAUCGGCCACACUGGGACUGAGACACGGCCCAGACUCCUACGGGAGGCAGCAGUAGGGAAUCUUCGGCAAUGGACGAAAGUCUGACCGAGCAACGCCGCGUGAGUGAAGAAGGUUUUCGGAUCGUAAAGCUCUGUUGUAAGAGAAGAACGGGUGUGAGAGUGGAAAGUUCACACUGUGACGGUAUCUUACCAGAAAGGGACGGCUAACUACGUG
rnacentral:rRNA from 1 species